GUUGGUGCCAUGGUCCCCGGGCCUCGGGGUGAAGGUGAGCACUGUGGAGCUGAGGUUCUGGGGGUCCAGUGAGUCCACAGCGACUCCCUCCCAGGAGAAGGGCCCAAGGCCUGGACAGGGAGUGACCCAGUGUCCUGUCUUGUUCCAAGAACAAGUUCCACAUCUCAGACUUCUCUCCGGGGCCCUGCCUUACCUGUCACCUGCAAAUUCAGCAUCUUCUCUUUUACCAAUAGGUGUAGAAUUUGCUAGAGGAAGACCAUGAACUCCAGGGGUAGGAGAAGGAGCAGGGCACGUGGAUGCACAGACCCUCCUGCACCGUCAUGGAUUCCUGCACUUGGAGCUCAAAGCCUGACUGCUGCUGCAGCGACCCUGAGAGAGGGAGACAGAGGCUCAGAUGCAGCCCCAUCCCUCUCCCACUUCCUCAUCCCCCGUCCCUUGGCCCACUCACCCCCCCACAGCAGGGGCAGCAGCAACAGGGGCACCAUGUCUGCCUCUCUCAUCAUAGAGUAGGUCCAGG